rnacentral:rRNA from 1 species
UACGUAGGGUGCGAGCGUUAAUCGGAAUUACUGGGCGUAAAGCGUGCGCAGGCGGUCUUGUAAGCCAGAUGUGAAAGCCCGGGCUCAACCUGGGAACUGCAUUUGGGACUGCAAGGCUGGAGUACGGCAGAGGGAGGUGGAAGUUCCGGCGUGUAGCAGUGAAAUGACGUAGAUAUGCGGAGGAACACCGAUGGCGAAGGCAAUCCCUGGGCCUGCACUGACGCUCAUGCACGAAAGCGUGGGGAGCAAACAGG